rnacentral:lncRNA from 1 species
UAAAUAGAGAUGAGGUUGGAUUUAAAGAAUAUAAAUUGAAGAUAAUCACAAAAUUAACAUUUAGAAAAAAAACUAAUACAGAAAAAUAAGAUCAUACAAAAGCUGAGUCUCCAACAAAUCAAAUAUCAAAAGAUAAAACAAAAAAAAAUCAAUUAUACAAAAAUAUUUUAAAAAUAUUAAUUAAGAAUGUCACACGUCCCUACACGGCAUCUUUUAGCAAUUUUUCAUGGAUUUAUUUUUUGGAAGUCACCACCUAGUAUUUGAUUAAGAGUUACUAGAAAAUCUGGAUGUACUGGUCGCUGUCAAAAAUUCAAGGGUAAGGAACUGGUUGUGGCUAUGAAAGAUAUUAGUAUCCCUAACACAUCCUAUCUGAGGUAAGCUGCUUUGCAGUUUGAAUUAAUUUAAAAAUUUAAAAUAUUAAUCAAAUUCUUAAGACUUUAAUAAAUCAGUUAUUAAAUCUCAAAAUAAAUAUAAAAACAUGUUCUUAUAUUUUUUUCAGGAAAUACAACAUGAUUUUAUUUGUCUGGAGAUAUUUAUUCAUAUUCAAAUUAAACAAUUAAUUCUUUUUGUUUUUUUUAUUUUAUUUUUAACAAUAAAACAAAACAUUCAUAAAAAAACAAAACACCCACUACCACUACUUUUUUACUAUACUCAUUCUGUUACAUGUUUACAUAAUAACAUAAGCUAAAAAAACAUUUCACAGAAAAUUAAAUACAUGUUCAAACAUCUAAAAAUUACAAAAAGGUCCCUAAAAAGUCCAGGAACAGUAGAGGAGGUCCUCAGGAACUGUGGAGCAGUGGCGGCGCGUCUCCCCACGCGCGGCCGUCACUGGCGGCGCGUGGGAUCUGUUAUAGCUUCCUCCCCUCUUCACUUUCCUUGCCGGUGGCGACCUGCAAAAACAACCACAAACGCAACAACAGUUGAUUUUUCUUUCAUUAUUUUCGGAUCUGCCUCCUCCCCCUUUCUCCUUUCAUAUCCGCUGCAUCUCUGCAAGUUUUUUGUUU